AGAUGAUGAAACCAAACUAAAAUUAGCUGGAAUUACCGGCAGAUAUGUUCAGUGGUGAUAAACUGGUUUUCUGAUG